rnacentral:rRNA from 1 species
CGGGAAUUUUGGGCAAUGGGCGAAAGCCUGACCCAGCAACGCCGCGUGAGGGAUGAAGUAUUUCGGUAUGUAAACCUCGAAAGAAUGGGAAGAAUAAAUGACGGUACCAUUUAUAAGCUCCGGCUAACUACGUGCCAGCAGCCGCGGUAAUACGUAGGGAGCAAGCGUUGCUCGGAUUUACUGGGCGUAAAGGGCGCGUAGGCGGCGCGGUAAGUCACUUGUGAAAUCUCUGAGCUUAACUCAGAACAGCCAAGUGAUACUGCUGUGCUAGAGUGCGGAAGAGGCAACCGGAAUUCUUGGUGUAGCGGUGAAUGCGUAGAUAUCAAGAGGAACACCUGAGGCGAAGGCGGGUUGCUGGGCCGACACUGACGCUGAUGCGCGAAAGCCAGGGGAGCAAACG